rnacentral:rRNA from 1 species
GAUGAACGCUGGCGGCGUGCCUAAUACAUGCAAGUCGAGCGAACGGACGAGAAGCUUGCUUUUCUGAUGUUAGCGGCGGACGGGUGAGUAACACGUGGAUAACCUACCUAUAAGACUGGGAUAACUUCGGGAAACCGGAGCUAAUACCGGAUAAUAUUUUGAACCGCAUGGUUCAAAAGUGAAAGACGGUCUUGCUGUCACUUAUAGAUGGAUCCGCGCUGCAUUAGCUAGUUGGUAAGGUAACGGCUUACCAAGGCAACGAUGCAUAGCCGACCUGAGAGGGUGAGAGGGCACACUGGGAAAGAGACACGGGCCAGACUCCCCAGGGGGGGAGAAGGGGGGAAUAUUUCCCGAUGGGGGCAAGCCCGAACGAGACAAACCGCGUGGGUGAAGAAGGGCUUUGGGUUGUAAAAACCUUUUGUUGGGGAAAAAAACAAGUAGGUAAAUACCCGGCCGUUUUGACGGGAACCAAAAAAAAAGCCCCGGCUAAAUUCGUG